rnacentral:rRNA from 1 species
GAUGAACGCUGGCGGCGUGCCUAAUACAUGCAAGUCGAGCGAACAGACGAGGAGCUUGCUCCUCUGACGUUAGCGGCUGACGGGUGAGUAACACGUGGAUCACCUACCUAUAAUACUGGGAUAACUUCGUGAAACCGGUGCUAAUACCGGCUAAUAUAUUCAACCGCAUGGUUCAGUAGUGAUAGACGGUUUUGCUGUCUCUUUGAGAUGGUUCCGCGCCACAUUAUCUAGUUGGUAAGGUAACGGCUUUCCAAGGAAACGAUGCGGAUCCGACCUGAGAGGGUGGUUGGCCACAAUGGGACUGAGACACGGGCCAAACUCCUAAGGGAGGCAGCAGUAGGGAAUCAUGCGCAAUUGGCGGAAACCUGGAGGCGGAAAGCCGCGUGAGUGAAAGAGGGCUUCGGGUUUUAAAACUCUGUUAGUAGGGAAAAAAAAGUGUGUAAGUAACAAUGCACGUUUUGACGGUACCUAAUGAGAAAGCCACGGCUAACUACGUG